UUUUUUUUUUUUUUUUUUUUUUGUAGUUAUUCGUGAAUUGUUUUGGUAUAUAAAAGUUGAAGACAAAAUAAAGUCUAUAAAAGGCAAAGAAUGAGAAGUGGCACUGUCAAACACUUUUUUGAGAUGUCUUGUCCGGGAGAAUGUUACAUUGGUGGGGUGAGAAACAAGAACUGAGGAAGCUUUUAACAACAUAUAUUUUUUGGGGAAAUUUGACAAUUUUGACAUAUUUUUAAGGUAAUAUAUUCGAGUACAUUUUAGUGAAACUCUCACCCGUUGGUGACCUAAAAAUAUUCUCCGCUCGCCAUCGUGACGUGAAAGCCACCCUUCCCUUCUGAUCUUUUUCAGGCACAUCCUGAAACUGAGUCAAU
rnacentral:lncRNA from 1 species